rnacentral:tRNA from 1 species
GCUUGGGUCGCUCAGUGGUAGAGCUCCUGACUAGUAUUGCAGAUGUCCCGGGUUCGAUUCCUGGUCCAUCCA